rnacentral:lncRNA from 1 species
GGAAUGCUCAGAAAGCAGAUAAAUUUUGGAACAUUGUCGAAGAAAAAUAUUACAUAAUGAUGGAGGUCAAACUGUAUCGACCGAAAUACCAAAUGACUACAAGGUGGGAGGAUUUGAACUUGAAAAUGUCAAACUUUUCCAACAUCUACUACAAACUUAUCGUCGAUCCGAAAAAACAGGGAUAAUCUGUGAUUUUCAAGAAAGCUCUAGGUGUAUACUGUUUGACAACAAUGGGUUGCCUUUUUGCAAAUAGAACCUCAUAAUAUCGUUAAAAGCUUGCCAAAGUGGAAACAAGACCUUAAUCUUCACCCUAAGCCACCUUCGAAACGAAGCAAAACUUUUCGCACUCCACCAACCAUCAUAGUCACUCAAAAGAUUUUGAUGGAGAAAGAGAACCGCAACACCCUAUCAGAGGGAUAAACAAAGAAAAGCCGCAAGAAAGCCAACAUCAUCAUCAAAAAGUUCGAUUUUAUCAGAAGAAAUGUUUAAUGAAAUUUCACGCCAACAUAAACUUGUUCGCUGAUACUUACAAAAACCAAUUGGAAUUCAAAAAACACAAGUAUGAAAACAAAAAUUAGAGCACCAAAGAAAAAGGAAGAGAGCACCAAAACUCCAAAAGGACCUCUAGAAAGCUCAAAUGGCGAUUCAAGCCAUUCAAUUGCAACUCAAAUGGCCAUUCAAGCUCUUCAAUUUGAAGUUGCAAGACAAUACCAAAUUACCAAUGCGGUGGAUAUAAUCAUUUUCAUAUUUCUUAUUUUGUAUUUUGCAUUUACAUUUAAGCUACAUAAAUAUUGUCUCAAUAGAAAACUAACAAACAGUUGAAAACAAGACUCUAUCUUCCAGACCAUAGAGUUUCAUUAAACAGGCGGAAAUAAAACAAAGGAGUCUUACUUAAGCGAAUGCACAACCUUCUCCAUCAUUACUAGAUAAAAUGGUAACAAAGACCUGGAAAAAAAAAGAAAAAAAAAACUGUGGCUUGUUUGAAAAUAACCACAGCAAUCAUCAAAUUCUUAAAAACAAAUUAGUAACCUUUGAUGUUGAGGUCAAUACGUUAAAUGAAAUGACAAUGGCAUCGAUUGUUAAAAAAAAUGAACACUGAAUGUCUACACCAUUAGCAUUAUGAUCAAGUGGAACGAAAAAUUCCCGCACCAACAAAGGAUUUGCAGUCCUUCACUAUGACUUCAACGGAUUAGUUAGACCGAAUGCUUGCACCUUUAGUACGCUGUUACAUGGACUUUGUUUAGAACACCGAGUCCUCAAGGCAGAAAGAUUAUUCAAGAAGCUGGUCAAAGAGGUUAAUCAUGUACAGGAUCAUGAUUACAGGCUUUGCAAUUUUGGCGAAAAUGAUAUAAUAUGUCCACGGUUUGCUUAAAAUGAUGGUUGGAACUUGUUAUAAACCUCAUGUGGUCACAUAAAGUACCAUCAUUGAUCAGAGAUUGUCACUUACAGCUAUAUGUUUCAUGACCUUUGUAUCUUAUAUCGUUGGAAUUACAUUUCUAAAAUGCUCAAAGAAAAAGAGAACAAUGGGAUCUCCUUUGAUGUAAACACUUAUUAACACUUUUGCAAUAAAAAAAUUUGUAAGAUGCAAAGGUUGGUAUCUAAGUGGAAAGAUUUCUAAUGUCAUAGCAUGGUGUUUACUUAUUGAUGACUAUUUUUACAAUGAAAAAUGAAAAGGCAAGAAGUUUUGGAUUAGAUGAGGUUAAAGGCAUGACCCCUAAUAUUAUCACUUACAAUAGUUUAUUAAACAAGUAGUGUAAGUAACAACAUCAAGUGAAAUGCCUCAUUUAAUGAAAAAACUUCUAUUGCUUAUUCAUUACAUGCUUUAACAAUACCCGGCAAUAAAUAAUCUUUUACUUGAUAAAACCAUUUACAUUUCCUUGCAAAUUUCAUAGAGUAAUAUGUUAAAGUUGUGCACAAUUAAGGAGAUCUCAUUGUCCUCCAUUUACUUGAAGAAUUUACAGAUAUAAUUCCAACAAAAUAACAUGCAAAGGCCAUUAAGCAUAUGGCUAUAGGUGCAGCCAUUUUCCUUAAUCAUAUAUAUAAUAUAUAACCACAUCAAUCUUAUAAUACCUUCCAACCAUUAGUUUAAGAAAAUCAAUCGCCAUAUUUUUCUCACUAAAAAAAAAAAC